CUAUUUAACACAACAGCCUGCUUCAGCUUUGCUUCCUUCCAAACCUGUCACAGUUCCAUAUACAGUCUUCAAGCCACAUAUGCUCUAGUGAUUGACAAAAGCUACACAGUC
rnacentral:sRNA from 1 species